rnacentral:rRNA from 1 species
GACCCCGCACAAGCGGCGGAGCAUGCGGCUUAAUUCGAAGAUACGCGCAGAACCUUACCAACACUUGACAUGUUCGUCGCGACUCUAAGAGAUUAGAGUUUUCGGUUCGGCCGGACGAAACACAGGUGCUGCAUGGCUGUCGUCAGCUCGUGUCGUGAGAUGUUGGGUUAAGUCCCGCAACGAGCGCAACCCUCACUUUUAGUUGCCAUCAUUUAGUUGGGCACUCUGAAAGAACUGCCAGUGAUAAGCUGGAGGAAGGUGGGGAUGACGUCAAGUCCUCAUGGCCCUUACGUGUUGGGCUACACACGUGCUACAAUGGUAUCUACAACAGGAAGCAAGACGGCGACGUUUAGCAAAUCCUUAAAAGAUACCUCAGUUCGGAUUGCACUCUGCAACUCGAGUGCAUGAAGCUGGAAUUACUAGUAAUCGU